rnacentral:misc_RNA from 1 species
AAUUGAUCGCAGUUAUAUUCUGGUUUUAGUACGUAGCGCGACUAUCGUUCAACCGGUGUACUUUACUCUCUAGUAUUCCUCUUCGCGCAUGCAACGUCGCGAAAAAGUCCCACGUCGUGUCCAUUAGUGACAAAGUGUUGAGUUCUACGACUGCGAAGCGGAAUACAGAAGAGUGAAGUACUACCAGUCAAAUGGUAGUGGCGCCACAUACUAAAGCCAUAAUACGGCUAAAAGUCAAGUCGCUUCCACAUCAUAUCAUAUCCAUGUUCACGGAAUUUAAUAUCCAUAGCAAAUUCCAUAAUUUGAUUACAAAAAAAACUAAUGGUUAUUUCUAAUUUGAGAAUAACUCGUAGAUACUUUUACAAGAUUUUGCUUCAUUUUGGUAUUUUUCUUUAUUCAUACAUUAAUCUCAUAAAAUAUUUAUUGUACUUUUAAAACAUAUAUAUGAUAUAAAAUCUGAUAUGACACUAACGUUUAAUAUGUAAAACUGUGCAAUAAAAAAUAGUUAUGAAG